GAAUUGCUUGUUUCUUUGUUUUGUUUCCACACUUCAGUCCUUCAUGCCAUGAAAGAGGAUAGCGAGAAAGUGCCAAGUUUGUUAACAGACUAUAUUUUAAAGGUUCUGUGUCCUACGUGAAGAGGGCUGCCUUUCAGAAUUAACUGUGUUCCUUCCUAUGAUGAGAAGCUUUCCAUGGAAAUAACUCAUAGUAUUUUCUUCCAUUUGGUACUAUACCUAAACCAGUACCCAUUUACCUCCUUUGUGUGUGCGUGGAUUUUCUGAUCCUACAUUAAGUCUUCUCAGCAUGACAACUCAUCCAUUCUAACCUAAUAGUGCAAUGAACUGGAGCAGGGAACAAAAACUGUACAGUUUUACUCGCAUUGUUCUGGCUUUUUAAAGUCUCUUUUUACACUGUAUAGCAUGUAAAUCCUCCUGCACAUUUUGUUGUGGGAAGGAAAAGUAAACUUUGAAUAGUGUAAAUAACAUAAGCCUAAUUGUAAGGAAUCCAUAUUUAAAGCAUCCUUAGUUCCUAUGGCAAAAAUGUAAAAAGAAUUGUCAUUGUACAGACCCGACAAAACGAUUCAGAUGAAUUCUUCAGGAAGCACUCUGGGACAGUGCUGGUGGACGUUUGCUUUCAACAGUUCUUUUAAACAUUAACUUUGAGCUAUACAACAGAAAUGUUCACAGAGUGAACAAAUCCUUAUUCUUUAAUGGUUUGGCAUAAGUAAUUGGUGUGUUACUUAUCUUUGUUAUCUAACAUAAACAUCAGAGUAAUGUAAUUUUUCAUAUUUAAUUGCUGUUUUUAUUUUAAUUGUUAAUGUUUAUGUGGCUCAGAUAUUCUCUCAUAUUGCUGCUAUAAUUUUACUGGUUUUAAUACGUGUUUGAUCUUAAUGAAUAUGAUUAAGUAAAUAAACAUUUUGAAAGGCUAUAUCUUUUUAAAAAUACAUGUACAGUUUGGAAAAAACUUGCACCUGGGUUCCAAGUUAGUAUUAUAUCAAGACUUCGGUCAUUGUGUAUCUCUGAACUUUACUACAAAUCUUUCUUGUAUGCUAUGUGAUGAUGUAUCUGCAUUCAAACAGAUGAGAAUGUAUUUUGCAAAUCCUGUAAAAGAAACAUACCCUGUGAUCUCCAUAUUAAAUAUUUGCCACAAAUCA